GUGCUCCCUUCGGCAGCACAUAUCCUAAAAUUGGAACGAUACAGAAAAGAUUAGCAUGGGCCUGUGCAAGGAUGACAUGCAAAGCUACUAGAUACUAUUAGUUAAG